rnacentral:lncRNA from 1 species
UAUGACAUUGGAAUGUCUUUCAAUUUUUCCAACAUCCUCCAUCUGCUCACGGUGACUGGAAAAGAAAGAGAUGAGUUUUGUAGAGAAGAAAAAUAACAGACCUGUUCUUCAACUUAAUAGAUCUGAAAAAAUAACAAGGUGGGUUUUGUAGAGAAGAAAUAGAUGAGUUCGAAAAUGAUGGUGGUGUGGACAAAGAAGGCCGAACAAAGGUGUGGCAGUGGCUGGAAGUG